ACCGCCAAAAUUAACUUAACACCAUAGAUAAUUUAACAUUAAUUAAAUCAGGAAACUAAAUCAUUUUUCCACCUUAGUACGGGAGACGGAAAGGGUAAUUUUAAGCAAUAGAGAUAGUACCGCAAGGGAAAGCUGAAAGAGUAAUGAAAUAAUCCAUAUAAGCACAAAAAAGCAGAGCCUAACCCUCGUACCUUUUGCAUCAUGAUUUAGCCAGCACCACACAAGCGAAGUGACCUUUAGUUUGAAAUCCCGAAACCAAGUGAGCUACCCCGGGACAGCCUAUUAGGGCGAACCCGUCUCUGUGGCAAAAGAGUGGGAAGAGCCCCGGGUAGAGGUGAUAAACCUACCGAACUUGGUGAUAGCUGGUUGCCUAAGAAGUGAAUAGAAGUUCAGCCUCGUAUCCCUUUGGCCAACCAGGAAAUAUCUAAGUAAGCAUAAGAGAGAAGUACGAGAGUUAGUUAAAGGGGGUACAGCCCCUUUAAUAAAGGACACAACCUUAAAUAGGAGGAUAAGAGUCACAUUUUGUAAAACUAGUCGUUCCAGUGGGCCUAAGAGCAGCCAUCUGAAUAGAAAGCGUUAAAGCUCAGACGACACGCAGUUUAUUAUACUGAUAAAUAGCCCAACUCCCCUAAAAGUAUUAGGCCGUUCCAUGCCAACAUGGAAGAGACCAUGCUAGAAUGAGUAAUAAGAGGGUAUGACCCUCUCCUAGCGCAAGUGUAAACCAGAUCGGACAAACCGCUGGAAAUUAACGAACCCAUAAAAAGAGGGUAGUGUGUUUACAAAAGAAAUCAAGAAAACAACACAGCAUCUGCAUCGUUAAACCCACACUGGAGUGCUAUCAAGGAAAGACUAAAAGAAAGGGAAGGAACUCGGCAAACACAAGCCUCGCCUGUUUACCAAAAACAUCGCCUCCUGCAAACCCCUACGUAUAGGAGGUCCAGCCUGCCCGGUGACUACAAGUUUAACGGCCGCGGUAUUUUGACCGUGCAAAGGUAGCGCAAUCACUUGUCUUUUAAAUGAAGACCUGUAUGAAUGGCUAAACGAGGGCUUAACUGUCUCCCUUUUCAGGUCAGUGAAAUUGAUCUACCCGUGCAG
rnacentral:rRNA from 1 species